rnacentral:rRNA from 1 species
CUUCAUGAAGCUGGAAUUGCUAGUAAUGGCAGGUCAGCAUACUGCCGUGAAUACGUUCCCGGGCCUUGUACACACCGCCCGUCACACCAUGAGAGUUGGGAAUACCCGAAGCCUGUGAGGCUAACUGUAAGGAGGCAGCAGUCGAAGGUAGAAUCAAUGAUUGGGGUGAAGUCGUAACAAGGUAUC